CCCAAACAAAGAGGGUACUGAACAACAACCAGAAAAACAUCCACCGUUAACCCCACACUGGUGUGCCUUUAAGGAAAGACUAAAAGAAAAAGAAGGAACUCGGCAAACAAGCCUCGCCUGUUUACCAAAAACAUCGCCUCUUGCAAGAAUAAGAGGUCCCGCCUGCCCUGUGACUAUAAGUUUAACGGCCGCGGUAUUUUGACCGUGCGAAGGUAGCGCAAUCACUUGUCUUUUAAAUGAAGACCUGUAUGAAUGGCACCACGAGGGCUUAGCUGUCUCCUUUUUCCAGUCAAUGAAAUUGAUCUCCCCGUGCAGAAGCGGGGAUACGCACAUAAGACGAGAAGACCCUAUGGAGCUUUAGACACCAAGACAGAUCAUGUUAAACACCCCCUAAUAAAGGGCCAAACCAAAUGAGUCCUGUCCCCAUGUCUUUGGUUGGGGCGACCGCGGGGAAACAUAAAACCCCCACGUGGAAUGGGAGUACUCCUACAGCUAAGAGCUCCCGCUCUAGCAAACAGAAAUUCUGACCAACAAGAUCCGGCAACGCCGAUCAACGGACCGAGUUACCCUAGGGAUAACAGCGCAAUCCCCUUUUAGAGCCCAUAUCGACAAGGGGGUUUACGACCUCGAUGUUGGAUCAGGACAUCCUAAUGGUGCAG
rnacentral:rRNA from 1 species